rnacentral:misc_RNA from 1 species
GUUAGGUUUCUCCCUCUCUCCUCAUCAUAUGAAAAUGGAUGUUCCUUCAGGUCCUAGUAAUCACCAUCACCAAGCACAAGCAGAGUCUGGCUCAGCUUCUGUUCCUACUGCAAUCCCAACAAGCCUUUUCUACUCCCAAUCACAUUCACACCUCAAUUAUGGCAGUUACUGUGGUGUUGAAGGUGAAAAUUGUGGGUUGUACUCUCCCUUGCCAGUGAUGCCACUAAAGUCUGAUGGGUCUCUUUGUAUGAUGGAAGCUCUCACCAGGUCACAGCCUCAAGCAACAAUGUUGACUACUUCAACUCCAAAACUGGAGGACU